rnacentral:rRNA from 1 species
UGCGUAGGCGGGCUAAUAAGUCAGUGGUGAAAUCUCUCGGCUCAACCGGGAAACUGCCAUUGAUACUGUUAGUCUUGAGUUCGGUUGAGGUAGGCGGAAUGUGUAAUGUAGCGGUGAAAUGCUUAGAUAUUACACAGAACACCAAUUGCGUAGGCAGCUUACUAGACCGACACUGACGCUGAGGCACGAAAGCGCGGGGAGCGAACAGGAUUAGAUACCCUGGUAGUCC